rnacentral:rRNA from 1 species
CCUACGGGAGGCAGCAGUGGGGAAUAUUGGACAAUGGGCGCAAGCCUGAUCCAGCAAUGCCGCGUGAGUGAUGAAGGCCUUCGGGUCGUAAAGCUCUUUUACCCGGGAUGAUAAUGACAGUACCGGGAGAAUAAGCUCCGGCUAACUCCGUGCCAGCAGCCGCGGUAAUACGGAGGGAGCUAGCGUUGUUCGGAAUUACUGGGCGUAAAGCGCACGUAGGCGGUUAUUCAAGUCAGAGGUGAAAGCCCGGGGCUCAACCCCGGAACUGCCUUUGAAACUAGAUGACUAGAAUCUUGGAGAGGUCAGUGGAAUUCCGAGUGUAGAGGUGAAAUUCGUAGAUAUUCGGAAGAACACCAGUGGCGAAGGCGACUGACUGGACAAGUAUUGACGCUGAGGCGCGAAAGCGUGGGGAGCAAACAGGAUUAGAUACCCUGGUAGUCCACGCCGUAAACGAUGAUAACUAGCUGUCCGGGUACUUGGUAUUUGGGUGGCGCAGCUAACGCAUUAAGUUAUCCGCCUGGGGAGUCGGUCGCAAGAUUAAAACUCAAAUGAAUUGACGGCUGAGAGNGCGAGCGACGACGAGGAGAG